CCCGGGUUGGGGGACUACUCCUUUUAUGGGGUCGCAAUGGCUUUAUUCGCUAUAUUCCUAUCUAUCAUUUUAGAAAUUUAUAAUUUUUCCGUUUUACUGGACGGAAUUUUAACCAAUCAGGUUUCUACUAACUAA
rnacentral:rRNA from 1 species